AAAACUUUCAACAACGGAUCUCUUGGUUCUGGCAUCGAUGAAGAACGCAGCGAAAUGCGAUAAGUAAUGUGAAUUGCAGAAUUCAGUGAAUCAUCGAAUCUUUGAACGCACAUUGCGCCCCCUGGUAUUCCGGGGGGCAUGCCUGUCCGAGCGUCAUUA
rnacentral:rRNA from 1 species